rnacentral:rRNA from 1 species
UACGAGUGCCUCAAGCGUUAUCCGGAAUUACUGGGCGUAAAGGGUGUGUAGGCGGUUCUAUUAGUCUUGUGUAAAAACUUCGCGCUUAACGCGAAAUCUGCAUAGGAAACGGUAGAACUAGAGGAUGCAAGGGGCACAUAGAACUCAUGGUGUAGGGGUGAAAUCCGUUGAUAUCAUGGGGAAUACCAAAAGCGAAGGCAGUGUGCUGGUGCAUUCCUGACGUUGAAACACGAAAGCGUGGGUAG